rnacentral:rRNA from 1 species
AACGAACGCUGGCGGCAGGCCUAACACAUGCAAGUCGAGCGAGGACUUCGGUCCUAGCGGCGGACGGGUGAGUAACGCGUGGGAACGUGCCCUUUGCUUCGGAAUAGCCCUGGGAAACUGGGAGUAAUACCGGAUGAGCCCUUUGGGGGAAAGAUUUAUCGGCGAAGGAUCGGCCCGCGUUGGAUUAGGUAGUUGGUGGGGUAAUGGCCUACCAAGCCGACGAUCCAUAGCUGGUUUGAGAGGAUGAUCAGCCACACUGGGACUGAGACACGGCCCAGACUCCUACGGGAGGCAGCAGUGGGUAAUCUUAGACAAUGGGGGAAACCCUGAUCUAGCCAUGCCGCGUGAGCGAUGAAGGCCUUAGGGUUGUAAAGCUCUUUCAGCUGGGAAGAUAAUGACGGUACCAGCAGAAGAAGCCCCGGCUAACUCCGUG